UGACGGUAACUUACCAGAAAGGGACGGCUAACUACGUGCCAGCAGCCGCGGUAAUACGUAGGUCCCGAGCGUUGUCCGGAUUUACUGGGUGUAAAGGGAGCGCAGACGGCAAGGCAAGUCUGAAGUGAAAUUCCAUGGCUCAACCGUGGAACUGCUUUGGAAACUGUUUAGCUAGAGUAUCGGAGGGGUAAGCGGAAUUCCUAGUGUAGCGGUGAAAUGCGUAGAUAUUAGGAAGAACACCAGUGGCGAAGGCGGUUAGCUGGACAAUAACUGACGCUGAGGCGCGAAAGCGUGGGUAGCAAACAGGAUUAGAUACCCUG
rnacentral:rRNA from 1 species